GAUGAACGCUGGCGGCGUGCCUAAUACAUGCAAGUCGAGCGAACGGACGAGAAGCUUGCUUCUCUGAUGUUAGCGGCGGACGGGUGAGUAACACGUGGAUAACCUACCUAUAAGACUGGGAUAACUUCGGGAAACCGGAGCUAAUACCGGAUAAUAUUUUGAACCGCAUGGUUCAAAAGUGAAAGACGGUCUUGCUGUCACUUAUAGAUGGAUCCGCGCUGCAUUAGCUAGUUGGUAAGGUAACUGCUUACCAAGGCAACGAUGCAUAGCCGACCUGAGAGGGUGAUCGGCCACACUGGAACUGAGACACGGUCCAGACUCCUACGGGAGGCAGCAGUAGGGAAUCUUCCGCAAUGGGCGAAAGCCUGACGGAGCAACGCCGCGUGAGUGAUGAAGGUCUUCGGAUCGUAAAACUCUGUUAUUAGGGAAGAACAUAUGUGUAAGUAACUGUGCACAUCUUGACGGUACCUAAUCAGAAAGCCACGGCGAACUACG
rnacentral:rRNA from 1 species